rnacentral:rRNA from 1 species
GACGAACGCUGGCGGCGUGCCUAAUACAUGCAAGUCGAACGCACUCUCGUUUAGAUCGAAGGAGCUUGCUCCUGAUUGAUAAACAUUUGAGUGAGUGGCGGACGGGUGAGUAACACGUGGGUAACCUGCCCUAAAGUGGGGGAUAACAUUUGGAAACAGAUGCUAAUACCGCAUAAAACCUAACACCGCAUGGUGUAGGGUUGAAAGAUGGUUUCGGCUAUCACUUUAGGAUGGACCCGCGGUGCGUUAGUUAGUUGGUGAGGUAAAGGCUCACCAAGACCGUGAUGCAUAGCCGACCUGAGAGGGUAAUCGGCCACACUGGGACUGAGACACGGCCCAGACUCCUACGGGAGGCAGCAGUAGGGAAUCUUCCACAAUGGACGAAAGUCUGAUGGAGCAACGCCGCGUGAGUGAAGAAGGUUUUCGGAUCGUAAAACUCUGUUGUUGGAGAAGAAUGUAUCUGAUAGUAACUGAUCAGGUAGUGACGGUAUCCAACCAGAAAGCC